GUGCCAGCAGCCGCGGUAAUACGGAGGAUCCAAGCGUUAUCCGGAAUCAUUGGGUUUAAAGGGUCCGUAGGCGGUCUUAUAAGUCAGUGGUGAAAGCCCAUCGCUCAACGAUGGAACUGCCAUUGAUACUGUAAGACUUGAAUGCUUAGGAAGUAACUAGAAUAUGUAGUGUAGCGGUGAAAUGCUUAGAUAUUACAUGGAAUACCAAUUGCGAAGGCAGGUUACUACUAAGUGAUUGACGCUGAUGGACGAAAGCGUGGGGAGCGAACAGGAUUAGAUACCCUGGUAGUCCACGCCGUAAACGAUGGAUACUAGCUGUUCGGCGCAAGUUGAGUGGCUAAGCGAAAGUGAUAAGUAUCCCACCUGGGGAGUACGCACGCAAGUGUGAAACUCAAAGGAAUUGACGGGGGCCCGCACAAGCGGUGGAGCAUGUGGUCUAAUUCGAUGAUACGCGAGGAACCUUACCAGGGCUUAAAUGUAGAUUGACAGGACUGGAAACAGUUUUUUCUUCGGACAAUUUACAAGGUGCUGCAUGGUUGUCGUCAGCUCGUGCCGUGAGGUGUCAGGUUAAGUCCUAUAACGAGCGCAACCCCUGUCGUUAGUUGCCAGCGAGUCAUGUCGGGAACUCUAACGAGACUGCCAGUGUAAACUGUGAGGAAGGUGGGGAUGACGUCAAAUCGUCACGGCCCUUACGUCCUGGGCCACACACGUGCUACAAUGGUAGGUACAGAGAGCAGCCACUGCGCGAGCAGGAGCGAAUCUACAAAACCUAUCUCAGUUCGGAUCGGAGUCUGCACUCGACUCGUGAGCUGGAUCGCUAGUAUCGGAAUAUCAGCCAUGAUCCGGGUGAAUACGUUUCCCGG
rnacentral:rRNA from 1 species